rnacentral:lncRNA from 1 species
ACUGGCAGAUUAUUGCAAAAAGGGCACGGGGCAGAGGGACUAUGUUGUGAGCCUGCGAAAGAAGUUUGUGUGGGGACUGUGGGCAGUGAAUGCGUUGGGAACAAUAUGGAAAACUGGGAGCUGCCUUGGAAUCUACAGGGCCGGGACCCACUCGAGCCAUCCACACUUUCCCCAGCCUCCUCCAAAACAGCACACUUUCCGGCUGAAGAAAAGAAGAAUGGUAUUCAUGCAGUUCCCAUUUUACAGAUGAAAACAAGAGGACUUUUUCUGUGAAGUCAAGAAAGUGGUUACAAUGGUACUUUCAGCCUGUCCGAAUUAUGUAUUGCCCCUCCCCUUUUUAUUAAUAACAUUGAAGUGUGAUGGGACAACCACUGAAGCCGUCUGUUGAAACCUGCUGGGACUUUUUAGCCAUUCUCUUCAACAUAAAGAAUGGGUGUUUUUGGAGGGGGUGAGAGGAAUGGGGAAAUGUUGUCAAAGAGUACAAUGUUUUAGUUGAGACAGGAGGAAUAUAUUUUGUUGAGAUCUACAGCACAGCAUGGUGACUGUAGUUAACAAUGAAGUAUUGUGUAUUUCAAAAUUGCUAAGACAAUAAAUUUCAAAUGUUCUCACCACAAAAAAGAUAGGUUUUGAGGUGAUGAAUCUA